UACGUAGGGUGCGAGCGUUAAUCGGAAUUACUGGGCGUAAAGCGUGCGCAGGCGGUGAUGUAAGACCGAUGUGAAAUCCCCGGGCUCAACCUGGGAACUGCGUUUGGUACUGGCAAGCUAGAGUACGGCAGAGGGGGGUGGAAUUCCACGUGUAGCAGUGAAAUGCGUAGAGAUGUGGAGGAACACCGAUGGCGAAGGCAGCCCCCUGGGCCGAUACUGACGCUCAGGCACGAAAGCGUGGGGAGCAAACAGG
rnacentral:rRNA from 1 species